AUAACAAUGCUUGAGGAAGAGGGAGUACGUAUCAAUGCGUAAGGCAAAGAGAGUCGGUGGCUGCUGAGAACCGAACCAUACGCGAUACGGAAAUGGGCUUCUGAAUUGCUUCGCUGAAACCAUAACAGUAGGCGGCAGCCGGGAUUCUCUCUCCGUUACUAAGAGAGAAGCAUCGAAAGUGAUUUUUUUCUGUGCUUUAAAGCGAAUUGCUUUUUAGCAAUUAAUAAAGGUGGCACCGCGGAAACCUCGUCCUUUGA
rnacentral:ncRNA from 1 species